UUGUCACCCCACACAUCCAGAGGUGCCCACGAGUGUAUUUGGGGAGAGGCUUUGAGAACAAGUUGAAGAGCGACUGUCCUUCUAUGAGACUGGAGAGAUACCAUGAAAGAAUCUGGAUGUCAUGAAGGAAGAAAUGGUUCAGGCAGAGGAAGCGGCUGCUGAGAUUACUAGGAAGCUGGAGAAACAGGAGAAGAAAUGCUUAAAGAAGGAAAAGAAACAGCUGGUUGCACUUGCCCUCACAUCUUCAGAAAACAGCAGUAGUACUCCAGAGGAGUGUGAGGAGACGAGUGAAAAACCCAAAAAGAAGAAAAAGUAGAAGCCCCAGGAGGUUCCUCAUGAGAAUGGAAUGGAAGACCCAUCUAUCUCUUUCUCCAAACCCAAGAAAAAGAAAUCUUUUUCCAAGGAGGAGUUGAUGAGUAGUGAUCUUGAAGAGACCGCUGGCAGCACCAGUCUUCCCAAGAGGAAGAAGUCUUCACCCAAGGAGGAAACAGUUAAUGACCCCGAAGAGGCAGGCCACAGAAGUGGCUCCAAGAAAAAGAGGAAAUUCUCCAGAGAGGAGCCAGUCAGCAGUGGGCCUGAAGAGGCAGCUGGCAAGAGCAGCUCCAAGAAGAAGAAAAAGUUCCAUAAAGCAUCCCAGGAAGAUUAGAAUGCAAACGGACAUUCUCUGGGAGGUGGGGCAUACGAUAGCCCAAGGUGACAUCUCCCAACCUGUGCCCUGUUCCCCAAUAAAAACAAAUUCACA